CAUUAGCUGCGCACGCAGAGUACAUGAUGACCAGCGCGGUGAAUAUCUCUCCCUCCGACUGUUGAGCGUUUACCUGUCAAAACGGAGGAGUCAAAAGCGAAGGCGAUCAAAAGUUAGACGCAAACCUCAAACGGUACGUUUUGCGAGGCUCGCGAGCGUUGUGAACUUCAAACGGCACUCACCUAUUGUAACAUUCUCCCUUAUGCAGCAACGCAAUGGAAUCAAACUUGAAGGACGGUGUAUAGACAUAAGGUAUUAAAAUGCCCUCAGGGGCCGUCCACGAUCCUUAACAGGUCGCUUACGAUACAGGGAGUGGCGUUCCCGACGUGCCCGACUAUGCGCGAAUAGAAAACUACACACUGGGAGUUUUUCACAUAAUAUGAACGCAAAAUCUUUUACCCGAAGCGCCCCGCUUCCGGUGUCC